GAUGAACGCUAGCGGGAGGCUUAACACAUGCAAGUCGAGGGGCAGCAUAGGGUAGCAAUACUCUGAUGGCGACCGGCAAACGGGUGAGUAACGCGUAUGCAACCUACCCUGUACAGGGGGAUAACCCGGAGAAAUUCGGACUAAUAUCCCGUAAUAAUAUCCGGAGGCAUCUUUGGAUAUUUAAAGUUUCGACGGUACGGGAUGGGCAUGCGUAACAUUAGCUGGUUGGUAAGGUAACGGCUUACCAAGGCUAUGAUGUUUAGGGGUCCUGAGAGGGUGGUCCCCCACACUGGUACUGAGACACGGACCAGACUCCUACGGGAGGCAGCAGUGAGGAAUAUUGGUCAAUGGGCGCAAGCCUGAACCAGCCAUCCCGCGUGCAGGAAGACGGCCCUAUGGGUUGUAAACUGCUUUUCCAGGGAGAGAAACUUACGCACGUGUUGCGUGACUGACGGUACCCUGGGAAUAAGCAUCGGCUAACUCCGUGCCAGCAGCCGCGGUAAACCGAGAGUA
rnacentral:rRNA from 1 species